rnacentral:rRNA from 1 species
UACGAAGGGGGCUAGCGUUGCUCGGAAUCACUGGGCGUAAAGCGCACGUAGGCGGAUUGCUAAGUCAGGGGUGAAAUCCUGGAGCUCAACUCCAGAACUGCCUUUGAUACUGGCGACCUUGAGUCCGGGAGAGGUGGGUGGAACUGCGAGUGUAGAGGUGAAAUUCGUAGAUAUUCGCAAGAACACCAGUGGCGAAGGCGGCUCACUGGCCCGGUACUGACGCUGAGGUGCGAAAGCGUGGGGAGCAAACAGG